UGCUGGCCAUUCCGAACAUUAUCGAAAUAGUAAGAACAUAUAAACUAGUAAGAACAUAUAAACUAGUAAGAACAUAUAAACUAGUAAGAACAUAUAAAAAGGAAAUCAUUCAACACCGACCUGCCUCGGACCUCCUGAGAAAAGGGAAGCGAUUAUCCUCAGCAAACCUCAAAAGGCAGUAUGCAGAGGCUGUGUGAACUACAGCUAUCGAGUAGUAAGAUUUGUGAAGUGACUAAAAUGCUACAACUAUCGAAUAGCAAGAUUUGUGAAGUGACUGAAAUGACUGCAUAUGUUGCAAAUUCAAAGCCAAACAAUUCAAUAGAGAUGACCACCACAGGUAAUCGAUCCAAGAUAGCCACCUAGUGACACCUAUAUCCCAACUAAAUACUAGAAAUUUAUUACAACUCAAUACCAGAGGGCUAAAUCUAUGGUAAACUGGAAGAGAGUGUUCUUGUGUUAAGAAAAUCCAGACAGAGCUAAAGUGCAAAACGUCUUCAACGAAAAUAUCCUCCACUUCGUCAUACGAGUAUUUCGACUUUUGACUCUUUACACUCCUAGAUGGGAGUCGGACAGCAUCUAGGUUACGACUCAUAGUACUAUUAUCUUUCCAUGUUUUACACUACGGUCUGUAUUGCAGCUCUCAUUACUAAUGAAAAUACUGCAGAGCCAAGUAUCUAUGGUGUUGUAAUCAGUUCAGUAUAAUCCUUCUGAAAACGACUUCUCUAUGGACCUUUUCACGGGUACCGUUGCUUUAAGAGAUCCAACUUUCUUUCUCUCAGAAAUUCAAUGCUGUUUUCAUCAGAUUAUAUAUAUACAGGGGCUGGACAACAUAAUGGAAACAACUAUCAUCAUAGCAUCAUCAUUUUGAAAUAUCUAUAAAACUGCCAAAAGCUUG